rnacentral:rRNA from 1 species
UUACCGAGUGAGGGCCCUCUGGGUCCAACCUCCCACCCGUGUUUAUCGUACCUUGUUGCUUCGGCGAGCCCGCCUCACGGCCGCCGGGGGGCAUCCGCCCCCGGGCCCGCGCUCGCCGAAGACACCAUUGAACUCUGUCUGAAGAUUGCAGUCUGAGUGAUUAACUAAAUCAGUUAAAACUUUCAACAACGGAUCUCUUGGUUCCGGCAUCGAUGAAGAACGCAGCGAAAUGCGAUAAGUAAUGUGAAUUGCAGAAUUCAGUGAAUCAUCGAGUCUUUGAACGCACAUUGCGCCCCCUGGUAUUCCGGGGGGCAUGCCUGUCCGAGCGUCAUUGCUGCCCUCAAGCACGGCUUGUGUGUUGGGCCCCGCCCCCCGGUUCCGGGGGGCGGACCCGAAAGGCAGCGGCGGCACCGCGUCCGGUCCUCGAGCGUAUGGGGCUUCGUCACCCGCUCUGUAGGCCCGGCCGGCGCCCGCCGGCGACCCCAAUCAAUCUAUCCAGGUUGACCUCGGAUCAGGUAGGGAUACCCGCUGAACUU